CCUACAACACUGCAUACAGGCUAUCCUCAUGACAAUCUAAUAAAGGCUACAUCUGAUGAGAAUACAGUAAAUGCUAAAGAAUUAAAGCAUCUUCUAGGGCGCCAGUCGCGUGUGGCAGAGACAUGGCACCAGACAGAAGCCUGAGCUGCAGCUUUCACAGCUGGGGGAAGAAGCCAGUCUCCAGAGCUCUGAUCUCGGGAUGGCUGUUGAACCCAAUCUCUCUAACUGGCCGAACCACCCGAACCGUAUCUGACAACCCCGCUGACGGGAAGGCGGGAAACACCCUCUGCUUUCGGCGGGUCCCUGGUCUGCAGCACCAGCCGAGCUUUGGCAACUGUGCUGAGCAUUCGCAUUAGUACUACCAGUAUUCUCCACAUGGCGGCAGCAAAGAAACAUCUGCUUUAGAAAACCAAAAGCUCUCCUUUUCAAUAUGAGUGAGUGGCAGCGUCAGCCCUGGUAGCUUUAUGUGCAACUAUGCUAAUGUCUGUGCAUGUGUAUGCAUGCAUGAGCAUAUUUGUGUUAAUGUCUGAGCUUGUAAUGGUAGUGUCUCUGUAUGACCAUGUCUGCUUGUGUUAAUGUCUCUGUGUUUCUCUUUGUGUUGCUCUGGACAAUCCUCUCUCAAAAAGUUGAUAUUUUUGUAAUGUUAGAAAA